rnacentral:rRNA from 1 species
AUUGAACGCUGGCGGCAGGCCUAACACAUGCAAGUCGAACGAGUGGCGGACGGGUGAGUAAUGUCUAGGAACCUCCCCGAUGGAGGGGGAUAACUCCUGGAAACGGUAGCUAAUACCGCAUACCAUCGGAUGUGCCCAGAUGGGAUUAGCUAGUAGGUGGGGUAACGGCUUACCUAGGCCACGAUCCCUAGCGGGUCUGAGAGGAUGACCAGCCACACUGGAACUGAGACACGGUCCAGACUCCUACGGGAGGCAGCAGUGGGGAAUAUUGCACAAUGGGCGAAAGCCUGAUGCAGCCAUGCCGCGUGUAUGAAGAAGGCCUUCGGGUUGUAAAGUACUUUCAGCGAGGAGGCGUUACUCGCAGAAGAAGCACCGGCUAACUCCGUGCCAGCAGCCGCGGUAAUUC